rnacentral:lncRNA from 1 species
UUGGCUAGACCCUUGCCAGCACACUCUUUAGUUGUGCUUUUUAAAUGUUUAUUUUUAAAAAGACUUGGUUUUAAAAGAACUGAAUGGUAUGGGUUCAAAGACGACGGCGGUUGUUGAGAAAAGUAUCACUAACUUUGCUAUUAAAGUGGAUGAUGUUGUUGUUCUCUAAAUCACUUCAUUGCAAUGGCAUCCUCUUGUUGUUUU